UCAUCAAAGAGACACAAAUAAGGACGUCUUUACCUCCUCUUUACCUCCAUUCACCGCAUUACUGAUCUCUCACCAUGUCUAGUGGAAGAGGUGCUUCUGGUUUUUUGAGGAGCCAAGUUGGAAAUUUGGGGAUCUCCAGUCUUGUUCUGGUGGUUUUGGAGGAAAUGAUGGAUCAUGAUUUUGUUUGUCCUUGCCAGGAUGGCUUAAAUAAAGCAAUAUGCUGUUGUUAUGCCAUAGUGCCAUCCUUUGCUUGCUGUGCUUUUACCUUAUGCUUUGUUGACACGGAGGCUAAAGGAACCGAGGAUAAAGAAUGCGAGGAUAAAGGACCCAAGGAUGAAGGAAAUCAUUACAAAUGUAUUAAAGUGCUCUACCACUCGCUCAUAGUCUGCAUCUGGCUGUUUAUCUUCUUCAUCGAUGGCCGAUACGUGUCCUGUGCGUUUUCACACUGGGGUGGAGAGUACACUGAGACUGGGGCUUUAAAGUGGUGCAAACCGAACGGGAGUGAAACUGUGGUGUUUGAGAGAAUGCAGGAGACUCAGAGGUGUAUCACUGGAUCUCAGUUUGUGGGUUUUGCCAUAGCAUUGGUGAUCUCUCUCCUUCUACUAAUAUCAUAUUGCUGCUGCCGUGUUAGUGUUCAGCAGAUUAGAGACAUUCCAAUGAUGACCCGGAACUGAGAGAGAGCAGCAGGUGAAACAGCACAGAUUUACUGAUCAGAUGGUUGUGGGUUCAAGUACCAGGAUUGCCUUGUGCUGCAAGACGUUUGUACACAUUUAAAAUGCAAUAAGAAUAUAAUACAAUAUAACCAAAUGUUAGACACAUAAGAAUUUCAUGUACAAUGUAGACACCUACGUGACCUUGUGAUUUCCUCUGUAUAAUUUUUCCUUUGGGUUGUUAAGUAAACUGAGACAAAACUCAUGUAAUCUCUUAAUCUCUAAUUUAAAUCUAUAAAAAUAAAAUAAAUUAAACUCUUGUACUCCUCUG